rnacentral:snRNA from 1 species
GUGCUCACUUCGGCAGCACAUCUACUAAAAUUGGAAUGAUACAGAGAAGAUUAUCAUGGCCCCUGCACAAGAAAGACACGCAAAUUCAUGGAGUGGUCCAUAUUUUU